UCCAUAUUCUUCUUCUUUUUCUCCUUUUUAUUUUUUUUCUUCUUCUUUCUUUCGAAUGUGCCUCAUCCUGGUUAAA
rnacentral:ribozyme from 1 species